CACGUCCUUAGCAUGGGGAGAGGUUCCUCAAUGAUCGAUUAGUGAGAGGGCCGCUACCGCUGGACCAUAUAAUUACACCAGAGAGACUUUAGCUUUAACUCUCUGAAUUUUUGGAACG